rnacentral:lncRNA from 1 species
CUCGGAAUUACACAUUAUUUGUCGACGAUUUUCUGUAUAAAUCUAGCGGUUGAACAAAUUGAACAUCGCUGUCAUGGAUAGUAAUGAUGAAAAUAAGUUUGAGAUCGUUUAUUAGAAAACUUUGGUAAAAAUGUUUGGAAAGUUACUUUUUUAUUUUCUUUCAAGGUCCGUCGGGCAUGUCGGGCGAAGCUAGUAACCAAAUAGAAAGUCCGACUGCAAAAAUGGAAGGUCACAGACCUCGGACCACCGCUUAUUUGAAACCCUGCGUCCAAAUUGAAAAGAUACGAAAUUUCGUAUUCUAAUUCAAAAUUGCCGCCAACAGCGUGAUCAGUCGAACUUAUUUUAAUAGACUACUGACGUAGUUGGCUACGU